AUUGAACGCUGGCGGCAUGCCUUACACAUGCAAGUCGAACGGUAACGGGCCUUCGGGCGCCGACGAGUGGCGAACGGGUGAGUAAUGCAUCGGAACGUGCCCAGUAGUGGGGGGUAGCCCGGCGAGAGCCGGAUUAAUACCGCAUGAGAACUGAGGGGGGAAGCGGGGGGUCGCAAGACCUCGCGCUUCUGGAGCGGCCGAUGUCAGAUUAGCUAGUUGGUGGGGUAAAGGCCUACCAAGGCAACGAUCUGUAGGUGGUCUGAGAGGACGACCAGCCACACUGGGACUGAGACACGGCCCAGACUCCUACGGGAGGCAGCAGUGGGGAAUUUUGGACAAUGGGCGCAAGCCUGAUCCAGCAAUGCCGCGUGCAGGAAGAAGGCCUUCGGGUUGUAAACUGCUUUUGUCAGGGAAGAAAUCUUCUGGGUUAAUACCUCGGGAGGAUGACGGUACCUGAAGAAUAAGCACCGGCUAACUACGUGCCAGCCGCCGCGGUAA
rnacentral:rRNA from 1 species